ensembl:lncRNA
CUGCCGGCGCCUCCUUUCUCCCCUCCGAGCCGCCCGAGAGCCGUUGCCUUCCCUGCUUGCGCCCACCCACCCUGCACCAGCUUUAUCUCCGUGCUCAAGGAGACCCCAGUACCCCCUCCUUCCCCCUCAGCCUCUGUCGUCGCCGGGGAGACCCAGCUGGAGACAGAAGCCGAUGCCUGGACCUGGACUCUCUGCCCACAAAGAGGGGGUUUGCUGAGCUGCAGUGCAUUCUGGGGAAGCACAAGACAUGGCUGCCACUGUCGCACCAAAGGGGAUGUCAUCAGGUGUCCGCUGCUGUGACGGCCCCUUCUAAUGACCGCCAGAAGGGCAAGGCCACGGUGCUAACAAACGCCUUUAUAGAAUGCCACCCCAGUGCGCUGUCACCUCUAAGCCUGGCCCUUCUCCUGGAGGUCAGCAGAGGAGCCAGCCAUUGUCCUGUUCCCAGGUGAGAAGAUAGUCAAGGACCACAUCCCCCGGCCAGUCGCUCAUCACAUGGUAGGCCUUUGUAUUCUGUAAACAAAGCUUUCUUAGUAUUCUGCUACAUUUUUUUAAAAAAUAUGUAUCUGGAGGAACUGAACGUGGAAGGGGCGUGUCCUGACUAGUUUUUAUGUCAACUUGACACAAUCGAUGGUCAUCUGGGAAUCUUAAUUGAGAAAAUGCCUCCCUUGGCUUGGCCUGUGGGUGAGUCUGUGGAGCAUUUCCUUGAUUGAUGACUGGUGGGAGAGCACCCAGCUCACUGUGGGUGGGGCCCUCACCGGGCAGGUGGUCCUGGAUGGUACAAGAUGGUGGGCUGAACAAGCCAUGAAGGACAAGCCUGUAAGCGGCACGUUUCUGUGGCUUCUCUCUCAGUUUCCGCCUCCAGUGUCCUGUCCUGAGUUCCUGCCCUGACGUCCCUCAGUGAUGACUGCCAUCUGUGACUAGAAGAUGAGACAAACCCUUUCCUCUCAAGCUUCUCUUUAUUGUGGUGUUUAAGCACAGCAAUAGAG